GACGAACGCUGGCGGCGUGCUUAACACAUGCAAGUCGAGCGGUAAGGCCCUUUCGGGGGUACACGAGCGGCGAACGGGUGAGUAACACGUGGGUGACCUGCCCUCAGCUCUGGGAUAAGCCUGGGAAACCGGGUCUAAUACCGGAUAUGACUCCAUGACGCAUGUUGUGGGGUGGAAAGCCUUGUGCGGCUGAGGAUGGGCCCGCGGCCUAUCAGCUUGUUGGUGGGGUGAUGGCCUACCAAGGCGACGACGGGUAGCCGGCCUGAGAGGGCGACCGGCCACACUGGGACUGAGACACGGCCCAGACUCCUACGGGAGGCAGCAGUGGGGAAUCUUGCGCAAUGGGCGAAAGCCUGACGCAGCGACGCCGCGUGGGGAUGAAGCUUCUCGGAGUGUAAACCCCUUCGACCGGACGAAUAGCCCGCAAGGACUUGACGGUACGGUAGAAGAAGCCCGGCUAACUACGUGCCAGCCGCCGCAGU
rnacentral:rRNA from 1 species